rnacentral:rRNA from 2 species
GGGUUGUGAGGUUAAGCGACUAAGCGUACACGGUGGAUGCCCUGGCAGUCAGAGGCGAUGAAGGACGUGCUAAUCUGCGAUAAGCGCCGGUAAGGUGAUAUGAACCGUUAUAACCGGCGAUUUCCGAAUGGGGAAACCCAGUGUGACUCGUCACACUAUCAUUAACUGAAUCCAUAGGUUAAUGAGGCGAACCGGGGGAACUGAAACAUCUAAGUACCCCGAGGAAAAGAAAUCAACCGAGAUUCCCCCAGUAGCGGCGAGCGAACGGGGAGGAGCCCAGAGCCUGAAUCAGCAUGUGUGUUAGUGGAAGCGUCUGGAAAGGCGCGCGAUACAGGGUGACAGCCCCGUACACAAAAGCGCAUGUGCUGUGAGCUCGAUGAGUAGGGCGGGACACGUGGUAUCCUGUCUGAAUAUGGGGGACCAUCCUCCAAGGCUAAAUACUCCUGACUGACCGAUAGUGAACCAGUACCGUGAGGGAAAGGCGAAAAGAACCCCGGCGAGGGGAGUGAAAAAGAACCUGAAACCGUGUACGUACAAGCAGUGGGAGCACAGGUUUACCUGUGUGACUGCGUACCUUUUGUAUAAUGGGUCAGCGACUUAUAUUCUGUAGCAAGGUUAACCGAAUAGGGGAGCCGGAGGGAAACCGAGUCUUAACCGGGCGUUAAGUUGCAGGGUAUAGACCCGAAACCCGGUGAUCUAGCCAUGGGCAGGUUGAAGGUUGGGUAACACUAACUGGAGGACCGAACCGACUAAUGUUGAAAAAUUAGCGGAUGACCUGUGGCUGGGGGUGAAAGGCCAAUCAAACCGGGAGAUAGCUGGUUCUCCCCGAAAGCUAUUUAGGUAGCGCCUCGUGAAUUCAUCUCCGGGGUAGAGCACUGUUUCGGCUAGGGGGCCAUCCCGGCUUACCAACCCGAUGCAAACUGCGAAUACCGGAGAAUGUUAUCACGGGAGACACACGGCGGGUGCUAACGUCCGUCGUGAAGAGGGAAACAACCCAGACCGCCAGCUAAGGUCCCAAAGUCAUGGUUAAGUGGGAAACGAUGUGGGAAGGCCCAGACAGCCAGGAUGUUGGCUUAGAAGCAGCCAUCAUUUAAAGAAAGCGUAAUAGCUCACUGGUCGAGUCGGCCUGCGCGGAAGAUGUAACGGGGCUAAACCAUGCACCGAAGCUGCGGCAGCGAACGUAUCACUUAAAGCGAUUCAGCGGGUUACGAUUGACGGAGCGAAGCGACGUCAAAGCGUAUACAAAGUCGAGUCGGUUUAAGGAUACGUUCGUUGGGUAGGGGAGCGUUCUGUAAGCCUGUGAAGGUGUGUCGUGAGGCAUGCUGGAGGUAUCAGAAGUGCGAAUGCUGACAUAAGUAACGAUAAAGCGGGUGAAAAGCCCGCUCGCCGGAAGACCAAGGGUUCCUGUCCAACGUUAAUCGGGGCAGGGUGAGUCGACCCCUAAGGCGAGGCCGAAAGGCGUAGUCGAUGGGAAACGGGUUAAUAUUCCCGUACUUGGUGUUACUGCGAAGGGGGGACGGAGAAGGCUAUGUUGGCCGGGCGACGGUUGUCCCGGUUUAAGCGUGUAGGUGUGUGUUCCAGGUAAAUCCGGUUCACUUUAACACUGAGGCGUGAUGACGAGGCACUACGGUGCUGAAGCAACAAAUGCCCUGCUUCCAGGAAAAGCCUCUAAGCAUCAGGUAACAUCAAAUCGUACCCCAAACCGACACAGGUGGUCAGGUAGAGAAUACCAAGGCGCUUGAGAGAACUCGGGUGAAGGAACUAGGCAAAAUGGUGCCGUAACUUCGGGAGAAGGCACGCUGACAUGUAGGUGAAGUGAUUUACUCAUGGAGCUGAAGUCAGUCGAAGAUACCAGCUGGCUGCAACUGUUUAUUAAAAACACAGCACUGUGCAAACACGAAAGUGGACGUAUACGGUGUGACGCCUGCCCGGUGCCGGAAGGUUAAUUGAUGGGGUCAGCGCAAGCGAAGCUCCUGAUCGAAGCCCCGGUAAACGGCGGCCGUAACUAUAACGGUCCUAAGGUAGCGAAAUUCCUUGUCGGGUAAGUUCCGACCUGCACGAAUGGCGUAAUGAUGGCCAGGCUGUCUCCACCCGAGACUCAGUGAAAUUGAACUCGCUGUGAAGAUGCAGUGUACCCGCGGCAAGACGGAAAGACCCCGUGAACCUUUACUAUAGCUUGACACUGAACAUUGAGCCUUGAUGUGUAGGAUAGGUGGGAGGCUUUGAAGCGUGGACGCCAGUCUGCGUGGAGCCGACCUUGAAAUACCACCCUUUAAUGUUUGAUGUUCUAACGUGGACCCGUAAUCCGGGUUGCGGACAGUGUCUGGUGGGUAGUUUGACUGGGGCGGUCUCCUCCUAAAGAGUAACGGAGGAGCACGAAGGUUGGCUAAUCCUGGUCGGACAUCAGGAGGUUAGUGCAAUGGCAUAAGCCAGCUUGACUGCGAGCGUGACGGCGCGAGCAGGUGCGAAAGCAGGUCAUAGUGAUCCGGUGGUUCUGAAUGGAAGGGCCAUCGCUCAACGGAUAAAAGGUACUCCGGGGAUAACAGGCUGAUACCGCCCAAGAGUUCAUAUCGACGGCGGUGUUUGGCACCUCGAUGUCGGCUCAUCACAUCCUGGGGCUGAAGUAGGUCCCAAGGGUAUGGCUGUUCGCCAUUUAAAGUGGUACGCGAGCUGGGUUUAGAACGUCGUGAGACAGUUCGGUCCCUAUCUGCCGUGGGCGCUGGAGAACUGAGGGGGCUGCUCCUAGUACGAGAGGACCGGAGUGGACGCAUCACUGGUGUUCGGGUUGUCAUGCCAAUGGCACUGCCCGGUAGCUAAAUGCGGAAGAGAUAAGUGCUGAAAGCAUCUAAGCACGAAACUUGCCCCGAGAUGAGUUCUCCCUGAGACUUAGAGUCUCCUGAAGGAACGUUGAAGACGACGACGUUGAUAGGCCGGGUGUGUAAGCGCAGCGAUGCGUUGAGCUAACCGGUACUAAUGAACCGUGAGGCUUAACCUUACAACGCCGAAG